rnacentral:rRNA from 1 species
GACGUAGGGCGCGAGCGUUGUCCGGAUUUAUUGGGCGUAAAGAGCUCGUAGGCGGCUUGUCGCGUCGUCCGUGAAAACCCACAGCUCAACUGUGGGCUUGCGGUCGAUACGGGCAGGCUAGAGUUCGGUAGGGGAGACUGGAAUUCCUGGUGUAGCGGUGAAAUGCGCAGAUAUCAGGAGGAACACCAGCAGCGAAGGCGGCGCUCUGGGCUGGAACUGACGCUGAGGAGCGAAAGCGUGGGUAGCAAACAGG